UACGUAGGGUCCGAGCGUUGUCCGGAUUCAUUGGGCGUAAAGAGCUCGUAGGCGGUUCCGUAAGUCGGAUGUGAAAACUCAGGGCUCAACCCGGAGACGCCAUCCGAUACUGCGGUGACUGGAGUCUGGUAGGGGAUCACGGAAUACCUGGUGUAGCGGUGAAAUGCGUAGAUAUCGAGAGGAACACCAGUGGCGAAGGCGAGUCCCUGGACAACACCUGACACUGAGGCACGAAAGCUAGGGGAGCAAACAGG
rnacentral:rRNA from 1 species